rnacentral:tRNA from 1 species
UGCUUGAUAGCUCAGUGGUAGAGCAGGAAGCUGUUAACUUUCAGGUCGGCGGUUCGAGACCGUCUCAAGCAGC